rnacentral:lncRNA from 1 species
AUGCUCCCAGCCUCCGGGCGCGCCCCGGCCGGCGCGGGGACCCGGCGCCGAGGCCCCCGCCGCCGCGUUCGCCUACGCAGCGCAGACGGAGGCGGCGGCGGAGUUGGUGGCACUGCUACUACCCGUCUUUUGUGUCUUGCCCGAUCCCAGAGCCGUGCCAGGCCGGGGCGGGGAGCUGGGGGUUGGGGGGGGAGGGAGCGGAAGCCACUUUAUGGCUCCUGGCCCCACCUCUUGCCCCCACCCCAAAUCCUUCGGGAUUUCAAUGAAUCGCGGACUCGGGCGAUCGCCAACCUGAGCAUAUGCCAGUUGACAUGGGAACACUGAGGACAGCAAUUUAAGGAUUUUCACAUUUGCCUGUGGUG